AGAGUUUGAUCCUGGCUCAGGAUGAACGCUGGCGGCGUGCCUAACACAUGCAAGUCGAAGAAGCAUUUAAAGAAGCGACUUCGGUCAAAUCUUUUUAUGACUUAGUGGCGGACGGGUGGUAACGCGUGAGCAAUCUGCCUUUCAGAGGGGGACAACACCGGGAAACUGGUGCUAAUACGCAUAAAGUAUGCAGACCGCAUGAUCAGCAUACCAAAGGAGCAAUCCGCUGAAAGAUGGCUCGCGUCUGAUUAGCUAGUUGGUGGGGUAACGGCCUACCAAGGCAACGAUCAGUAGCGGACUGAGAGGUUGAACGGCCACAUUGGGACUGAGAUACGGCCCAGACUCCUACGGGAGCAGCAGUGGGGGAUAUUGCACAAUGGGGGAAACCCUGAUGCAGCAACGCCGCGUGAAGGUGACGGUCUUCGGAUUGUAAACUUCUUUUCUUAAGGACGAUAAUGACGGUACUUAAGGAUAAGCCACGGCUAACUACGUGCCAGCAGCCGCGGUAAUACGUAGGUGGCAAGCGUUAUCGGAUUUACUGGGUGUAAAGGGCGUGUAGGCGGGACUACAAGUCAGGAGUGAAAACUAUGGCUCAACCCAUAGACUGCUUUUGAAACUGUAGUUCUUGAGUGAUGGAGAGGCAGGCGGAUUCCCGGUGUAGCGGUGAAAUGCGUAGAUAUCGGGAGGAACACCAGUGGCGAAGGCGGCUGCUGGACAUUAACUGACGCUGAGGCGCGAAAGCGUGGGGAGCAAACAGGAUUAGAUACCUGGUAGUCCACGCCGUAAACGAUGAAUACUAGGUGUGGGGGGACUGACCCCCUCCGUGCGGAGUUAACACAAUAAGUAUUCCACCUGGGGAGUACGACCGCAAGGUUGAAACUCAAAGAAUUGACGGGGGCC
rnacentral:rRNA from 1 species